rnacentral:rRNA from 1 species
UACAGAGGGGGCAAGCGUUAUUCGGAAUUAUUGGGCGUAAAGGGCGCGUAGGCGGCCUGGCAAGUGGAAGGUGAAAUCCCUCGGCUUAACCGAGGAACUGCCCUCCAAACUGCUUGGCUUGAGUCCGGGAGAGGUGAGUGGAAUUCCCAGUGUAGCGGUGAAAUGCGUAGAUAUUGGGAGGAACACCAGUGGCGAAGGCGGCGCACUGGACCGGAACUGACGCUGAGGCGCGAAAGCGUGGGUAGCAAACAGG